rnacentral:lncRNA from 1 species
AGGCCAUGGCAUCAUUAGAUACAGAAGAAAAUAUACAUUGUAUUGAUAGAAAAUUAAUGAGUUUUGUUGGAUUUUUAAAUCAAGGGAAAACUUGGGCAUGACAUACUGUGUUC